GACGAAGGUGACAACCGUUGCUCGGAAUCACUGGGCAUAAAGCGCGCGUAGGUGGCUUCGUAAGUCCAUGGUGAAAUCCCUCGGCUCAACCGAGGAACUGCCGUGGAUACUGCAAAGCUUGAGUACGGGAGGGGUGAAUGGAACUCUCGGUGUAGCGGUGAAAUGCGUAGAUAUCGAGAGGAACGCCGGUGGCGAAAGCGAUUCACUGGACCGUAACUGACACUGAGGCGCGAAAGCUAGGGGAGCAAACAGG
rnacentral:rRNA from 1 species